GGCCCCGUAGCUCAGUUGGAUAGAGCGCCAGCCUCCGGAGCUGGAGGUCGUAGGUUCGAAUCCUGCCGGGGUCACCA
rnacentral:tRNA from 1 species